rnacentral:rRNA from 1 species
AACAAACGCUGGCGGCAUGCCUAACACAUGCAAGUCGAACGAGAUCUUCGGGUCUAGUGGCGCACGGGUGCGUGACGCGUGGGAAUCUGCCCUUUGGUUCGGAAUAACAGUUGGAAACGACUGCUAAUACCGGAUGAUGACGAAAGUCCAAAGAUUUAUCGCCAGAGGAUGAGCCCGCGUAGGAUUAGCUAGUUGGUGUGGUAAAGGCGCACCAAGGCGACGAUCCUUAGCUGGUCUGUGAGGAUGAUCAGCCACACUGGGACUGAGACACGGCCCAGACUCCUACGGGAGGCAGCAGUGGGGAAUAUUGGACAAUGGGCGAAAGCCUGAUCCAGCAAUGCCGCGUGAGUGAUGAAGGCCUUAGGGUUGUAAAGCUCUUUUACCCGGGAUGAUAAUGACAGUACCGGGAGAAUAAGCUCCGGCUAACUCCGUGCCAGCCGCCGCGGUAA